rnacentral:tRNA from 1 species
GUCUAAAUAGUUUAUUAAAAUAUAAACUUGUGGCGUUUAAGAUGUAAAAAGUUUACUUUGGGCA